AUGGCUUUGUGGGCGCGCCUUCUUAACAGCGAAAAUGCAUACAGAAUGAUCCUAAAGUUAAUCACAUUGGUUCCACCUGGUGAAAAAGUUGGGUUCGAAGGAGGACUAUACACCAAUCUGUGGACAGCACACAUAAGAACAGUAGCAGUAGUACUACUACUAGCAGUAGUACUACCAAAAGAAAGGAAAGAACAUAACAUGAAUUUGGCUAAGCCAAGCAUGAUCUUGCUUGCAUUGCCGCCUUUGCUACAUGAAGCAAUAGGGCCAACAGAGAGGAUGUUCUUACAAGGGAGCAAGAAGCCUGCUGCCAUGGCCCUAGGGUUUGCAGGUGAGGGGGUGGAGGAGAAGGGAGGAAUCACCAUGCAUAGGUUGGGGAGGGAGGAAGGAUGGAGAGGGAGGAAGGAUGGAGAGGGAGGAAGGAGGAAGGAGGAGAGGUACCUGGGCAGGCGCGGCCGGUCGCCGGAGGGGUCAGGGUCGGGGUUGGGGUCGGGGUCGGCGACGGCGGCAUCGUCGAAGGGAUGCCUCAGUUGGCCGUGGGAAGGCCGGCGGCCGCGUCUCGUCGUCCCGGCUGCCUGGCAAAGAGGAGCUACAGCCGGAGGUGGUUCUCUACACGGCGUGAGCUUCAGAGCGUCACGCCGCAGAGCGCGCACCUCAGCCGAUCUCUACGCCUUGCGCGCCCUGCUGCGGGGCUACGACCUGACCAUGGACGAGCGCGACGUGUCCAGGAGUAAAGCGCACCGCUGCAAGCUCAAGUCGUUACUCGCAGCUCGAGGCUGCCCCUUCUGCCUCCAGCAGCUCCUCGUCGGCUGCCCUGACAAUGUUAGGCAGCUGCUCGGGGCUGCGCCUUGUCCUUUUUUAUCCAACCCAAGCCUUGAUCUGGUCAUGGGAUGGCAUGACACGGUGAUCGCGGCAACGGCGAUAGGUCGGAAGGCGCCGGAGAGGAGAGGCGACGACGACGAGGGCGCGCAGACGCGAUCUAGGAGGACGGCCGCGACGGCGAGCGUGGCACGGGGGGCGGAGGAGGGGCGCGUUGGUGACGAGGAACAGGGUUUGAUGCGAGAGCGACGGGAAGAUUUGAAAUUUGCGUUUUCCGAAGAGGGAAGGGUGAAGGCAGCCGGGGGAGAACUGUAA
rnacentral:rRNA from 1 species